UAUUUUUUUAACUUGAAAUUUUUAAUAGCUGCAUCAAUCUGGAAACAAACUAAUUCCAAAGCAAUUUUUAAAAAUAGAUGAAGUCUGGAUUGUUUAGCUGAAGCGUGCCAGUUCUCGGUGCAUAUCAAUAACUGUUUUCAAUAGAAUUUCGUUUCUAACCCCAAGAUCUCCACCCAAACCCCAUCGGAAACCGACGGUGUUGCCAGUAACCCUCCUAGCGCAGUUCAUUCUUCUCACAGCAACUUGAGUCGCAGUGUCCAGUCCCGUGAGAGACUAUCCUAUGUCUUAUCCAACAUCUGGUCCCGUCAAUUAUCCGGUGCAUCGGACAAACUCCAGCAUCCAAGCGGACAGCAAGAACAACGUAGAUACUGCGGCGAGAACGCGCCGUACAGUCUACGUUGUUCUUGCUGAAACGCUGCACUAUCUACGCUGUUUUUGAAACCCAGAUCGACGAAUUUUAUCUGGAGGACAUCUCUUUGGAACUGAAGAAAUCGCAACCGUAUCAGUCUACGAACAACCCGCAUCUACAACUUAUCCGGGAAUCUUCGCAAUCCACACUAACAGAAAAACGCAUCGUGGCGGAAUCAGUCUCCACUCUACGCACAUGUGAACGGCUUCUCAAGUUCCACCAAGCGGAGGUUCAGCAUUCGGCUUCUGAACAGAGCGUUCGAUCCGCGACCGCCAGAUCAUCAUUGCAGAGCCCAUGGCGCAGAAAUCCUGUCUGCAUGGUUUGUUCGGCAAAUCGACAAAACAGAAGUAUCCCAUUCCGUCAACAGUCCGGAAGUCAUGUCCACAUAAUCGUUAUUAUCGUCCGGCAGUGACAUGCUUCCGGUGUAUCGCUCACCCGCAUCAGAUGGCUUUGAUGCUAGCAGAGUACCGCGCGAUAAAGGUCAAGAACCUGUAAUUCUUCGCUAAAGCGGCACUGCCAGUGUCGUCUGCCAAUUUGGCGGCGGGUGAUCGUCGCGAUGGUCAUGCAGCUCAUGCCUUUUCCUUCGGAUAUGCUACCGACCUGCAAUGUUUUGCUGAGUCGUUUUGGAGGUCAUUUGGAUUUAUUUUAGGACGGGUUUAAACGACACUGUAACAUGUGCCAUCAGUUCCUCCGCCUCCCUCAGGUAACACGCUUCGAUCAGAAUUCGGGCAUGAGAUGCAGUUUCAGGACCACUUAAUGACCCGCAUCCGCUCUAGCGAAGAAACCAUUCAGCAUCUCUGUACCGUCCACGCGUUCGUCCUGACCGAGGCCCGCCGGGAUAUUUUCGAUUUCAACGACCCAUCGACCCGUUGCGGGAGGACGUAGUGACCCCGGAUGACCGGGACGUGUGUGCCGCGCAGCUGAAGGACAUUCUGUCUGCCAAGAAAGAAACCAGGCUGACUAGCUGCGUACGGAACAAUCCGGCCAUCUUGAUGAAGGACAUCCAUGCGCUGCUUCUAGAAUUGCGCUCCUUUAGAACAUCGUCAAAACCCUGCGCCACGCCGUUAAAAGCGUUGCAGUGUUUGUGGAGGAUACCGCACAUCUGUCGGCGCAAAGCCAGUAUGUGGCACGGCAGCCGACGUCCAUUCCUGAGAUAAAGUAUACGCUACGGGAAGCAUCUGCAACUGGAAAUUUAACAACACAUGCGUAUAACUGUAUAUCAGCCUCGUCCUACGUGCAUCUAUAGUGAUGUCCGAUAUUGCAAAGUGAUGAAACAUACCGGUAGGCCUUUUGCGCGCUAGCAAAAUUCGCUAUUAGUAGGGAAAAAAUCGCAAUAAAGGCUGUUUUUGCCACCUGUAAGCGGCAGCUGUGUGUGGGCGAAAUACCUUCGGGACUUUCUGAAAUGCAGGCCGUUAACGUAAAAACAAACACCUAACGGGCGGCCACCUCGCGGGAGGCGGCCAACUGGCAGGCGGGAUCUCUGCAAAUAUUCAAUUCUAAAUACUACCGCCUACGAGCAAGCUGUAAAUGUCGGUUGGGCGCAGUUGGGCGCAUAUUUAUA